CUUUUUUUGAAAUCGGUUAAAAAUUACGCAACUUGUUGGUUCACAAAUGUUUUUACUCCGUAAAAGAUUUCCUUGACUUAAAGUUUUGAAUUAUAGUUUUGUAUUAUGUAAAUUAUUGACAUAAUAUGUGUGUGUAAUUUACAUAUAUUGAAAUUGUAUUUUACUA